rnacentral:lncRNA from 1 species
AACAUUUUAAAGCUGGGUUGUUGUACCCUAGGCUGUUAGCAGGCAGGACAGCUGUGUUUGAGGAGGACACCAUCUCUGGGCUUCAAAUUUCUCAUUUUAAAAUCAACACUGUUAUCCUUGCUCAUCGAGCCACCCUGUUGAAUUCUUCGUGUUCAGUGGAGCAUACAUGGAGGACGGGAGAGCUUCUUCCUCAUGAAUCCACAGGGGCCCCAGCUAACCAGACUGACUAAUGAGUCAUCUUCCCGUCAUCGUGAGAGCCACUGUGGUACACCAGCAUCUCCAAGACCGUUUAGGAAGCUGAUUCAAGGUGAAGCAGCAAUGGUAGAGGUCACAACUGAUCAGGUCAGUGGUAAGAAUUCUGAACCUUGAGGGAAGGAAUUCCAACAGGGAGUCACCAUCCCGCACCAUCCUGCCCAGCCAGGGCUGGCUACAUGAGGAAUAAGCUGCCUGGCUUAGGGGCCCAUCCUCAUCCACUUUCUCCC